GAUGAACGCUAGCGGCAGGCCUAAUACAUGCAAGCUGAACGGUAACUCUGUUAGCAAUAAUGGAGCUAGAGUAGCGUAAGGGUGCGUAACACGUAUGCAAUCUACCCACAACAGGAGGAUAGCUCUUCGAAAGAGGAAUUAAGAUUCCAUAAGAUCACAAGAAGGCAUCUGAAGGUGAUUAAAUUACCCGGGGUUGUGGAUGAGCAUGCGUCUGAUUAGUUAGUUGGCGGGGUAACGGCCCACCAAGACGAUGAUCAGUAGGGGAACUGAGAGGUUGGUCCCCCACACUGGCACUGAGAUACGGGCCAGACUCCUACGGGAGGCAGCAGUAGGGAAUAUUGGACAAUGGGUGCAAGCCUGAUCCAGCCAUGCCGCGUGCAGGAAGAAAGCCUUCUGGGUUGUAAACUGCUUUUUUCAGGGGAUAUAAUACCGGUGCGCCGGGAAUUGCAAGUACCUGGAGAAUAAGCCACGGCUAACUACGUGCCAGCAGCCGCGGUAACAC
rnacentral:rRNA from 1 species